GACGAACGCUGGCGGCGUGCUUAACACAUGCAAGUCACGGGGGCCCGCAAGGGCAACCGGCGAACGGGUGCGUAACACGUGAGCAAGCUUCCGAUCUGUGGGGGAUAGCCGGCCCAACGGCCGGGUAAUACCGCAUACGUUCACCGAGCGGCAUCGCUUGGUGAGGAAACCUCCGGGGCAGAUCGAGGCGCUCGCGGCCUAUCAGCUAGUUGGCGGGGUAAUGGCCCACCAAGGCUAUGACGGGUAGCUGGUCUGAGAGGAUGGCCAGCCACAUUGGGACUGCGACACGGCCCAGACUCCUACGGGAGGCAGCAGUGGGGAAUAUUGCGCAAUGGACGAAAGUCUGACGCAGCGACGCCGCGUGUGGGAUGAAGCCUUUCGGGGCGUAAACCACUGUUGCCCGGGACGAACCUCCCCUUUCGAGGGGACUGACGGUACCGGGUGAGGAAGCACCGGCUAACUCUGUGCCAGCAGCCGCAGUAACAC
rnacentral:rRNA from 1 species